rnacentral:rRNA from 1 species
AAAAGAAACCAACAGGGAUUGCCCUAGUAACGGCGAGUGAAGCGGCAACAGCUCAAAUUUGAAAUCUGGCGUCUACGGCGUCCGAGUUGUAAUUUGUAGAGGAUGCUUCUGGGCAGCCACCGGUCUAAGUUCCUUGGAACAGGACGUCAUAGAGGGUGAGAAUCCCGUAUGCGACCGGACAGGCACCCUCCACGAAGCUCCUUCGACGAGUCGAGUUGUUUGGGAAUGCAGCUCUAAAUGGGAGGUAAAUUUCUUCUAAAGCUAAAUACCGGCCAGAGACCGAUAGCGCACAAGUAGAGUGAUCGAAAGAUGAAAAGUACUUUGGAAAGAGAGUUAAAAAGCACGUGAAAUUGUUGAAAGGGAAGCGAUUGCAACCAGACUUGCUCGCGGUGUUCCGCCGGUCUUCUGACCGGUCUACUCGCCGCGUUGCAGGCCAGCAUCGUCUGGGGCCGCCGGAUAAGACUUUGGGAAUGUAGCUCCUUCGGGAGUGUUAUAGCCCAUCGUGAUGCGGCGCGCCCCGGGCGAGGUCCGCGCUUCGGCUAGGAUGCUGGCGUAAUGGUUGUAAUCGGCCCGUCUUGAAACACGGACCAAGGAGUCUAGCAUCUAUGCGAGUGUUCGGGUGUAAAACCCCUACGCGUAAUGAAAGUGAACGGAGGUGGGAACUUUUUGUGCACCAUCGACCGAUCCUGAUGUCUUCGGAUGGAUUUGAGUAAGAGCAUAGCUGUUGGGACCCGAAAGAUGGUGAACUAUGCCUGAAUAGGGUGAAGCCAGAGGAAACUCUGGUGGAGGCUCGCAGCGGUUCUGACGUGCAAAUCGAUCGUCAAAUUUGGGUAUAGGGGCGAAAGACUAAUCGAACCAUCUAGUAGCUGG